AACUUAGCUCAGUCGGUAGAGCAACCGGCCGUUAACCGGUAGGUCGUAGGUUCGAAUCCUACAGUUG
rnacentral:tRNA from 2 species